UAUGAAAAUGAAUACUUACCGUAGACAGUAGGUUGGCAGAGAGCCGGUAAAAUUUCCUACCGAGGUUUAUCAUAUAUGAUAUUAUGACCUCUCUAUGUCUACGGAGAGGUCUUUUGAUUUUUCAA
rfam:Clostridia bacterium BRH_c25 BRHa_1000363, whole genome shotgun sequence.